rnacentral:rRNA from 1 species
AGUGAACGCUGGCGGUAGGCCUAACACAUGCAAGUCGAACGGCAGCACAGUAAGAGCUUGCUCUUACGGGUGGCGAGUGGCGGACGGGUGAGGAAUACAUCGGAAUCUACUUUUUCGUGGGGGAUAACGUAGGGAAACUUACGCUAAUACCGCAUACGACCUACGGGUGAAAGCAGGGGAUCUUCGGACCUUGCGCGAUUGAAUGAGCCGAUGUCGGAUUAGCUAGUUGGCGGGGUAAAGGCCCACCAAGGCGACGAUCCGUAGCUGGUCUGAGAGGAUGAUCAGCCACACUGGAACUGAGACACGGUCCAGACUCCUACGGGAGGCAGCAGUGGGGAAUAUUGGACAAUGGGCGCAAGCCUGAUCCAGCCAUACCGCGUGGGUGAAGAAGGCCUUCGGGUUGUAAAGCCCUUUUGUUGGGAAAGAAAAGCAGCAGGUUAAGACCCCGCUGUUCGGACGGUACCCAAAGAAGAAGCACCGGCUAACUUCGU